rnacentral:rRNA from 1 species
ACUCCUACGGGAGGCAGCAGUGAGGAAUAUUGGACAAUGGGCGCAAGCCUGAUCCAGCCAUGCCGCGUGCAGGAUGACGGUCCUAUGGAUUGUAAACUGCUUUUGUACAGGAAGAAACACUCCCUCGUGAGGGAGCUUGACGGUACUGUAAGAAUAAGGAUCGGCUAACUCCG